rnacentral:rRNA from 1 species
UACCUGCACCUGGACAUAAAGACCCUAUGAAGCUUUACUAUUCCCUGGGAUUGGCUUUGGGCCUUUCCUCCACAACUUAGGUGGAAGGCGAAGAAGGCCCCCGGAAUCCAUCAGUGAGAUACAAACUCUAGAAGAGCUCGGAUUCUAACCUUGUGUUAGACCCGCGGGCCAAGGGACAGUCUCAGGUAGACAGUUUCUAUGGGGGGUAGGCCUCCCAAAAGGUAACGGAGGCGUGCAAAGGUUUCCUCGGGCCAGACGGACAUUGGUCCUCGAGUGCAAGGGUAGAAGGGAGCUUGAUUUCAAGACUCACCCGUCGAGCAGAGACGAAAGUCGGCCUUAGUGAUCCGACGGUGCCGAGUGGAAGGGCCGUCGCUCAACGGAUAAAAGUUACUCUAGGGAUAACAGGCUGAUCUUCCCCAAGAGUCCACAUCGACGGGAAGGUUUGGCACCUCGAUGUUGGCUCUUUGCCACCUGGAGCUGUAGGUGGUUCCAAGGGUUGGGAUGUUCGCCCAUUAAUGCGGUACAUGAGCUGGGUUCAGAACGUCGUUCGACAGUUCGGUCCAUAUCUGUUGUGGGUGUUAGAGCAUUGAGAGGACCUUUCCCUAGUACGGGAGGACCGAGAAGGACGCACCUCUAGUGUACCAGUUAUAGUGCCUACGGUAAACGCUGGGUAGCCAAGUGCGGAGAGGAUAACUGCUGAAAGCAUAUAAGUAGUAAGCCCACCCCAGGAUGAGUGCUCUCUCCUCUGACUUCCCUAGAGCCUCCGGUAUCACAGCCGAGACAGCGACGGGUUCUCCACCCAUACGGGGAUGGAGCGACAGAAGUAUGGAAAUAGGAUAAGGUAGCGGCGAGACGAGCCGUUUAAAUAGGUGUCAAGUGGAAGUGCAGUGAUGUAUGCAGCUGAGGCAUCCUAACGAACGAACGAUUUGAACCU